UACGUGGGGGGCAAGCGUUGUUCGGAAUUACUGGGCGUAAAGGGCUCGUAGGCGGCCAACUAAGUCGGACGUGAAAUCCCCAGGCUCAACCUGGGAACUGCGUCCGAUACUGGAUGGCUUGAAUUCGGGAGAGGGAUGCAGAAUUCCAGGUGUAGCGGUGAAAUGCGUAGAUAUCUGGAGGAAUACCGGUGGCGAAGGCGGCAUCCUGGACCGACAUUGACGCUGAGGAGCGAAAGCUAGGGGAGCAAACGGG
rnacentral:rRNA from 1 species